rnacentral:rRNA from 1 species
AGAUUGAACGCUGGCGGCAGGCCUAACACAUGCAAGUCGAGCGGUAGAGAGGUGCUUGCAUCUCUUGAGAGCGGCGGACGGGUGAGUAAUGCCUAGGAAUCUGCCUAGUGGUGGGGGAUAACGUUCGGAAACGGACGCUAAUACCGCAUACGUCCUACGGGAGAAAGCGGGGGACCUUCGGGCCUCGCGCCAUUAGAUGAGCCUAGGUCGGAUUAGCUAGGUUGUGAGGUAAUGGCUCACCAAGGCGACGAUCCGUAACUGGUCUGAGAGGAUGAUCAGUCACACUGGAACUGAGACACGGUCCAGACU